UACAGAGGUCUCAAGCGUUGUUCGGAAUCACUGGGCGUAAAGGGUGCGUAGGCCGCAAUGUAAGUCAGAUGUGAAAGCCCCGGGCUCAACCCGGGAAUUGCAUCCGAUACUGCAUUGCUAGAGGACUGGAGAGGAGUCUGGAAUUCAUGGUGGAGCAGUGAAAUGCGUAGAUAUCAUGAGGAACACUAGUGGCGAAGGCGAGACUCUGGACAGUUCCUGACGCUGAGGCACGAAGGCUAGGGGAGCAAACGGG
rnacentral:rRNA from 1 species